GUGGGGAAUCUUCCGCAAUGGACGAAAGUCUGACGGAGCGACGCCGCGUGAGUGAAGAAGGCCUUCGGGUCGUAAAGCUCUGUCAUCAGGGACGAACGGCCGGUGGAGUGGAAAGCCACCGGAUUGACGGUACCUGAGAAGGAAGCCACGGCUAACUACGUGCCAGCAGCCGCGGUAAUACGUAGGUGGCAAGCGUUGUCCGGAAUUAUUGGGCGUAAAGCGCGCGCAGGUGGGAUCUUAUGUCCAUUUUUAAAGUUCGGAGCUCAACUCCGUGAUGGGAUGGAAACUGGGAUUCUUGAGUACCGGAGAGGAAAGCGGAAUUCCCCGUGUAGCGGUGAAAUGCGUAGAUAUGGGGAGGAACACCAGUGGCGAAGGCGGCUUUCUGGACGGUGUCUGACACUGAGGCGCGAAAGCCAGGGGAGCGAACGGGAUUAGAUACCCUGGUAGUCC
rnacentral:rRNA from 1 species